rnacentral:lncRNA from 1 species
UUUCAUCUCUUACAAUCAACCCGCACUUCUUGUUGGUGAGCCCAUUUGCAAUUGCAAAUUGUUGAGGUACAUACUAACAUGGUGUAUAUAUGUGUAUAAACAUUUGAACACGCCAUUAAAAAGUUCACGUUCUUCAAACUUUCACCGCAUUUAUAACACCAAUCAACAAAGAAAAUAAAAAUAAAAUUGUGCAAUGCUUCCGUUAGCGCAGUGGCUGAGAUAGCGGCGGAGCUAGGAUUGGAACUUUAUGGAUUCUAGAUGUUAGAACUACUAUUUCAAGUGCUAACAAGCAGGUUUUAAGUUUAAUAAUUGUCCAUAUUUAAUGAAUUUCUUAGUACAAAUAUACUGUUAAAGAAAAAAUAUUGGGUUAGGUUGAACACGUAACGGGCCUUAUAUCUCUGCCCCUGACAUCCAAUCAAAAGCAUUAGAACCCCAAUCUACUCAAAUUAACAAUUAUUCAAUAUUACUUGCACAAAAUGAUGCAUAUGAUAUUGCUUAAGCCUUAGAUUGGCAGUGUAAAGAUUUAUGAGAUUGCAGGUUUACCAUUUCUUUGGGCUACCAAUUAAUGCUCGCCAUAGAAAUUUACUAACAAUUGCAUAAUAAGUUGUGCAAGCUGGCCCGAACACCAUGGUUAUAAGAAAAAUUACAUAAUAUGUAAUCUGAUUGGGUAAAAAAAAAAAGAUUUACCCAAACAGAAUAGAGAAAAACUUAUUAAACUAUAAGAAACAUGGCACACAUGCUUCCUUUAGUGCAAUGAGUUUUGAAACUUACCAAUAGACCUCUUGAAAACAUUUUUUGUGUAAUAGUGCAUUCAAAAUGAGAUCGAACAAAAGGCUUGUUAGUAGCAGCUUCUACAUGGG